AGGAUUGAUUGAGGAAGCCCAAGGCUCCAAAUCUAUUCUUGAACCAGGCUGCACAACCAAAAGGUAACAUUUUAUCUUAUUAUAAACCAAGUUUGUUGGGCUGAGGCCCAACAAGCCAUUUCUUUCAAAAUACAUCAAGUUUUAUGAAGGGAAACGGAAGCAAAUAUUGUAGAUCGCAUAAAGGCCCAACCAUAGGUGAAAAUGGUUAACUAGGGGCUUGGUACGCCCCUAGCCUAACUUACCUUUACCUUAUCAAUUUACAUCUCAAGGGUGUAUUGUAUUUGUCAUGUUUGUAACUAACACAUUGUUAGUGGAAUCCCUUAUGGCUGAACUAGA